GAUGAAUGCUGGCGGCGUGCCUAACACAUGCAAGUCGAGCGGCAGCGAGUUUUCCACUGAAUUCUGGAAGCUUCUGAGUAGUACAGAAGAUUUAUUCAAGAGUUUUGUGUAAAAUGUCGGCGAGCGGCGGACGGCUGAGUAACGCGUAGGAAUUUGCCCCAAAAUGAGGAAUAACUGCCCGAAAGGGUAGCUAAUGCCGCAUAUGGUCUUCGGAUUAAAGCCUUCGGGCGCUUUGGGAGAAGCCUGCGUUGGAUUAGGUAGUUGGUAGGGUAAUGGCCUACCAAGCCGACGAUCCAUAGCUGGUCUGAGAGGAUGAUCAGCCAGACUGGAACUGAGACACGGUCCAGACUCCUACGGGAAGCAGCAGUGAGGAAUCUUCCACAAUGGGCGAAAGCCUGAUGGAGCAACGCCGCGUGAAGGAUGAAGGCCUUCGGGUUGUAAACUUCUUUUAUGAGUGAAGAAUAUGACGGUAACUCAUGAAUAAGCACCGGCUAACUACGUG
rnacentral:rRNA from 1 species